rnacentral:rRNA from 1 species
GACGGGUGAGUAAUGCGUAGGAAUCUACCUAGUAGUACGGAAUAGCCAUUAGAAAUGGUGGGUAAUACUGUAUAAUCCCCGAGGGGGAAAGAUUUAUCGCUAUUAGAUGAGCCUACGUUAGAUUAGCUAGUUGGUGAGGUAAUGGCUUACCAAGGCUAUGAUCUAUAGCUGGUCUGAGAGGACGAUCAGCCACACUGGAACUGAGAUACGGUCCAGACUCCUACGGGAGGCAGCAGUGGGGAAUAUUGGACAAUGGGCGAAAGCCUGAUCCAGCUAUGCCGCGUGAG